CGUAGGAGGCAAGCGUUAUCCGGAUUCACUGGGCGUAAAGCGCGUGCAGGCGGUGCGGUAAGUUGGGCGUGAAAUCUCCCGGCUCAACUGGGAUAGGUCGUCCAAUACUACCGUACUUGAGAGCAGAAGAGGAAAAUGGAAUUCCCGGUGUAGUGGUGAAAUACGUAGAUAUCGGGAGGAACACCAGUGGCGAAGGCGAUUUUCUGGUCUGUUUCUGACGCUCAGACGCGACAGCUAGGGUAGUAAACGGGAUUAGAGACCCCGGUAAUCCUAGCCGUAAACGAUGUGAACUUGGCGUUGGUGGGUUAAACUCCAUCAGUGCCGUAGCAAACGCGAUAAGUUCACCGCCUGGGGACUACGGCCGCAAGGUUA
rnacentral:rRNA from 1 species